rnacentral:rRNA from 1 species
GACGAACCGUCCAAACGUUAUUCGGAAUCACUGGGCUUACAGAGUUCGUAGGCGGUCCGGUAAGUUAGGUGUGAAAUCCCUCGGCUCAACCGAGGAACUGCGCUUGAUACUGCCGGACUCGAGGGAGAUAGAGGAAAGCGGAACUGAUGGUGGAGCGGUGAAAUGCGUUGAUAUCAUCAGGAACACCGGUGGCGAAGGCGGCUUUCUGGACUGCAACUGACACUGAGGAACGAAAGCCAGGGGAGCAAAGCGGG